rnacentral:misc_RNA from 1 species
UAUUCUCCUCUUGAGAAUUGACAUCCCAUGGUGGGAAAAAUAAUAAAGUUUUUCGUGUAACUGCAUCAGUUGGAAAGUGAAUGUGUCAUGAUACCUUUUUUUUUUGUUAGCGUGAGGCUAUAUAAUAUUGAUUUUACUGCUGGCUUUCUUUCUGUUGUACCAAUGGGUUGGAUGAGGUUUUUGUCUUCUAGUUAUUCCUUGUGGCUGCAAGAAAGAAGCAAAAUGGGUUUCAUGCUGUCCCUGAGAGGUAUGGGUUGUGCCUGUUCAUUGCCUAAGAUGCCAUAAAGAUGACUGGUUUUGGAUCUGUGAUUGUUAUUCUGCCACAAGCGUUUUCAUCAAGAAAGCCUGGCGUAAGAUAUGGCCUCCAGAUGCAUGUAAUUGGCUAAGGAAACCGGCCAGAAGGCAGCUGAUAAAGGACAUGAAAGGAAAGAAUCAGCAAAAGAUGAAGCCUUCAGAGGAAUUGAGUCAGAAUGCUAAGGAAACCGGCCAGAAUGCUAGUGCAAAAAGACAAGAGCCGCAAGAGUCAGCUAAGGACACAACACAGCAAGGAAAGGAGUUAAUACAGGAGACAGGAUCAAAGGUAGCAGAAAAAGGAUGAGGUGAAAAUCCAGUUCAUCAAAGUUGCUAUGCAUUUUUUUCUGGUUAAAGUUAAUCAGAACUAAAUAAAGAAUUCCCAUGUGGUUGGUUUCUUCCACGUGCGGAAAAGACACAUACGAGUUGAACGGAACCAUAUGAAGAAUUCGGGCACGAGAAAUUCUUGCCUCAUCGGUCCCGUGCUACUCACCUGCCACCUAGUGCCAACCGAAGAGAACUUUCCCGGUCCUACGGCGGGACUGAUACACGUUCCAUUCACGAUCCGUGAUUAACAAUAGACCAUACGAUUUUUCUAUUGUAGCGUUUUUCAUAUGUACAGUUAUAUUUUUAUUUUGUAUCAAACAAAGCUAAUGAAAGCGAUUUGUUUCCCUACAACAUUGUAAUUGCUGAACGCAUUUAUACACUAGAACAUUAGUGAGAUUUA